UACAGAGGGGGCAAGCGUUGUUCGGAAUUACUGGGCGUAAAGGGCGCGUAGGCGGCCAACUAAGUCGGACGUGAAAUCCCCGGGCUCAACCCGGGAACUGCGUCCGAUACUGGAUGGCUUGAAUCCGGGAGAGGGAUGUGGAAUUCCAGGUGUAGCGGUGAAAUGCGUAGAUAUCUGGAGGAACACCGGUGGCGAAGGCGGCGA
rnacentral:rRNA from 1 species